rnacentral:rRNA from 1 species
AAUACUUAGGAAUCUGCCUAUUAGUGGGGGACAACAUUUCGAAAGGAAUGCUAAUACCGCAUACGCCCUAUGGGGGAAAGCAGGGGCUCUUCGGACCUUGCGCUAAUAGAUGAGCCUAAGUCAGAUUAGCUAGUUGGUGGGGUAAAGGCCUACCAAGGCGACGAUCUGUAACGGGUCUGAGAGGAUGAUCCGUCACACUGGGACUAAGACACGGCCCAGACUCCUACGGGAGGCAGCAGUGGGGAAUAUUGGACAAUGGGGGCAACCCUGAUCCAGCCGUGCCGCGUGUGUGAAGAAGGCCUUUUGGUUGUAAAGCACUUUAAGCGAGGAGGAGGCUCCUGUAGAUAAUACCUACAGUGAGUGGACGUUACUCGCAGAAUAAGCACCGGCUAACUCUGUGCCAGCAGCCGCGGUAAUACAGAGGGUGCGAGCGUUAAUCGGAUUUACUGGGCGUAAAGCGUGCGUAGGUGGCCAAUUAAGUCAAAUGUGAAAUCCCUGAGCUUAACUUAGGAAUUGCAUUCGAUACUGGUUGGCUAGAGUAUGGGAGAGGAUGGUAGAAUUCCAGGUGUAGCGGUGAAAUGCGUAGAGAUCUGGAGG